rnacentral:rRNA from 1 species
CGCGACCCCAGGUCAGGCGGGGUUACCCGNUGAAUUUAA